UACGAAGGGGGCUAGCGUUGCUCGGAAUCACUGGGCGUAAAGGGUGCGUAGGCGGGUCUUUAAGUCAGGGGUGAAAACCUGGAGCUCAACUCCAGAACUGCCUUUGAUACUGAGGAUCUUGAGUUCGGGAGAGGUGAGUGGAACUGCGAGUGUAGAGGUGAAAUUCGUAGAUAUUCGCAAGAACACCAGUGGCGAAGGCGGCUCACUGGCCCGAUACUGACGCUGAGGCACGAAAGCGUGGGGAGCAAACAGG
rnacentral:rRNA from 1 species